AUUAAAAUGAGCUAUUGGGUGUACUAACAAUUUUUUGGAAUAGUUUUUCCUUUAUUUUUCUUACUUACAUACGUUCACACAGCGCAUGCACACGUUGGUGGACAAAAUUCCAAGCAUUCAGGCAUGUAUAGGAAUUGUUAGAUUUGAUGCAAGUGUGAGCAGUCAAGCAAUCAUGGGGCAUCGAAAACACAUUGCUGAAAGGUAC